CGGACGGGUGAGUAACACGUGGAUAACCUACCUAUAAGACUGGGAUAACUUCGGGAAACCGGAGCUAAUACCGGAUAAUAUAUUGAACCGCAUGGUUCAAUAGUGAAAGACGGUUUUGCUGUCACUUAUAGAUGGAUCCGCGCCGCACUAGCUAGUUGGUAAGGUAACGGCUUACCAAGGCAACGAUGCGUAGCCGACCUGAGAGGGUGAUCGGCCACACUGGAACUGAGACACGGUCCAG
rnacentral:rRNA from 1 species